rnacentral:ncRNA from 1 species
GCCGCCAGAGGUCGAAAGGGGACGACGCACCGAAAGCUAAUGCUUUCGGUCACGAGAAAUGUGGGUUUCCUCGCCCCACCUGGCGGU